CAAAUUCGAGGUGAAAGUAGCAAGGAAGUGGGGAGAGAGGAGUGAAGAGAAAAAACGUGGGGAAGGGAGAGAGGAACUGGUGCGUUUAAGAUGCACAAGUUUAGUGAGUGUUAAACCAGUACUCUUGAACGAAACAUAAAUGGUGAUCGUUCUGUCGGUUUGAGUGGACUGCUCAGCACAGGAGGACAGAGAAAAGUUUAAGUUAGCCGCUGACUAAGUGACUAGUGUUUUUGCAUGGACUUUGCUAAUACGCUAGCGGAUCGCUCCCUGGCCUAGCUAAGCCUGUGUGGAACUGUGAGACCGACGGCGGACAAAGACCCAGACGGCGCCGGAUAGCGUUACCGAGUGGUGGACUUUGCCGAGAUCGUCAGCGGUGUGAGUUUUCCCAUCAGCCUUGUGAAUCUUUUUUUCAUCGUGUAUCUCGUCAUACCUGCUGCUGCUGUCGCCUUGUACCCUGCGCGUGGGAGGCUACAGGCCCAUUGAGUACAGGGGGAGUUGUUACCAAUUCAUCCACAAGCACAUGGAAUGUAAAUAACCAGGCGUCCUAUGAAGCCGUGGGUCUUGCAUGUCUUCAUAACAGCUGUCUGGAUAUGCAGACAUCUGAAGGGGGAACAAGUGGC